GAGCCAGUCCGGGAAACAAGAGCUGCUAACUCCUGCCUCCAUGGUUCAACUCCAUGGCUGGCUCG
rnacentral:tRNA from 1 species